rnacentral:rRNA from 1 species
AACGUAGGACACAAGCGUUAUCCGGAGUUACUGGGCGUAAAGGGCGUGUAGGCGGAGAUGUAAGUCUAUUCUGAAAGCUCCUGGCUAAACUGGGAGAGGCGAAUGGAGACUGCAUAUCUAGAGUGAGGAAGAGGAAAGUGGAAUUCCACGUGUAGCAGUGAAAUGCGUAGAGAUGUGGAGGAAUACCAAUGGCGAAGGCAGCCCCCUGGGAUAAUAUUGACGCUCAUGCACGAAAGCGUGGGGAGCAAACAGG